rnacentral:rRNA from 1 species
GAUGAACGCUGGCGGCGUGCCUAAUACAUGCCAGUCGAGCGAACGGACGAGAAGCUUGCUUCUCUGAUGUUAGCGGCGGACGGGUGAGUAACACGUGGAUAACCUACCUAUAAGACUGGGAUAACUUCGGGAAACCGGAGCUAAUACCGGAUGAUUUUUUGAACCGCAUGGUUCAAAAGUGAAAGACGGUCUUGCUGUCACUUAUAGAUGGAUCCGCGCUGCAUUAGCUAGUUGGUAAGGUAACGGCUUACCAAGGCAACGAUGCAUAGCCGACCUGAGAGGGUGAUCGGCCACACUGGAACUGAGACACGGUCCAGACUCCUACGGGAGGCAGCAGUAGGGAAUCUUCCGCAAUGGGCGAAAGCCUGACGGAGCAACGCCGCGUGAGUGAUGAAGGUCUUCGGAUCGUAAAACUCUGUUAUUAGGGAAGAACAUAUGUGUAAGUAACUGUGCACAUCUUGACGGUACCUAAUCAGAAAGCCACGGCUAACUACGUG